rnacentral:rRNA from 1 species
UACGGUGAGGACCGAGCGUUGUCCGGAAUCAUUGGGCGUAAAGAGCGUGUAGGCGGCCACUUAAGUCCUGCGUGAAAUCUUGCGGCUCAACCGCAAGCGGUCGUGGGAAACUGGGUGGCUAGAGUGCGGGAGAGGAGAGUGGAAUUCCUGGUGUAGCGGUGGAAUGCGCAGAUAUCAGGAAGAACACCCGUGGCGAAGGCGGCUCUCUGGAACGCAACUGACGCUGAGACGCGAAAGCGUGGGGAGCAAACAGG